GACGAACGCUGGCGGCGUGCCUAAUACAUGCAAGUAGGACGCACAGUUUAUACCGUAGCUUGCUACACCAUAGACUGUGAGUUGCGAACGGGUGAGUAACGCGUAGGUAACCUGCCUAUUAGAGGGGGAUAACUAUUGGAAACGAUAGCUAAUACCGCAUAACAGUAUGUAACACAUGUUAGAUGCUUGAAAGAUGCAAUUGCAUCGCUAGUAGAUGGACCUGCGUUGUAUUAGCUAGUAGGUAGGGUAAAGGCCUACCUAGGCAACGAUACAUAGCCGACCUGAGAGGGUGAUCGGCCACACUGGGACUGAGACACGGCCCAGACUCCUACGGGAGGCAGCAGUAGGGAAUCUUCGGCAAUGGGGGGAACCCUGACCGAGCAACGCCGCGUGAGUGAAGAAGGUUUUCGGAUCGUAAAGCUCUGUUGUUAAGGAAGAACGAGUGUGAGAAUGGAAAGUUCA
rnacentral:rRNA from 1 species